UUUAAUUAUUUAUACAAAUUCUUGAAAGUAAACCCCUCAGAAAAAGUUAUCCUAAUAUUUUAAAAUUGUUUACUGCAGACUCUGAGCCAUAACAUUCAGCAAGAAUACAUAGAAGUUGUAGAGAGCUGUGUGUUUACAGGUUUUGAAUAGUGAAUAUGUCUAACAACUCAACUGUUCCCAGUAAUGAUAUCUGAUGUAAACUUUUUGAUAUUUUUGGGUGUUUUGUUACUUCGUGACAAUGGUAGUUACUCUCAACUAGCAGAUAAAGAAGAAAGGACUUAAAACUCUGCUUUUCUCAUUUUAAAUUUAUUAAUUCGGUAUUAGUAUAGGGUCCAUGAUGAUCCGUUCCUGUGUGUAGAGGGUGGAUAGAUUGAUUGAAACUGGAGACAGUGAGCAUAUUUUUCAGAAAGCAAUCAUGUAGUAAGGAAGAGGUCAGGCUAUUCAGGUUUCGACAAUACGUGUGGUUCAAGUUAGUUUUUUCUGCCUUCGUGCAUGCAUGUAAUAAAUAUUGGAUACACUAGCUGAGGUUCAGGAAUGACAUGGCGCUUUCAGAGCCUUAGAGAAGAAACUCCUCGACAUUGUAGUUAUAAGAAAAAUGAUGAAUCUGAAGGUGUCAAACAAAAUGCUGAUUAAAGAAUGCAUUUGAGAUCAUUCAGGUGCUAUGGAUCGGAAGAGGUGGAAAAGCCUCAAAGCCAGACAAAAGGGGGACAAGGCAAAUGUCACGAGCGCGUUUCACCGAAAUUCACAAGUACUGCUAGACUGAGCCCUUUACUUUUUAAUUUAAGAGUAAAUAUAUCUGAAAUAUUCAGAAUUUAUAUUGAUCAAUUUCUUAAUUCCUACAUAUAUAUUCUCUGUUGCAGUUUUUUUUACCAUUUGAGAUUUUUCUUUGUUGGGAAUAGAUUUAACUUUAAGCUUAUGUUGUGCAGAUAUACUUAUGGCCUUAAUAUGCAGCAUUUUGUUUCCACCAAGAUGCGAGUCUAUAUUGGCAGUAGAGAUACCAGAAAGAGAGUCAUACAUUGGUAGUAGAGAGGAAUAAGAAAACGAGUUGGUGGACGCUAAAAGAGAUUGCCAUGUUGUACAUGAAGUCUAUUUUCAUGAAAUAUGGCAUAACAGGAGGGGUGUCCUUUGGAUUUGGGAUUUUGGAUGAGUACAUAGCAAAUGAGAAAGUAUGGCGUUUUUUCUUUGAAUAUUUUUUCGAAGAGCUCUUGAUCAAAUGGUGUGAACACUUAGCUUGAAUCUUUUGCCACCUAAAUAUGCCACGUAUGACCUUCUUUCUUUAAGUUUGUCAUGUAAGCUGUGUAACAAACACUAGCCAUAAGCCUAACUAAAUUUUUUCUAUAGGAAAAGGUAUUUUUAUAUUUUUUUCUAUAUUGUGUGGGUGGAAAGAAGUAAUUGGGUAUUUGUUUGAGUUUUUGUUUUUUCAAAACGCAGGAUUCUUUUUGAUCGAUAACAUUUUAUUUAAUGAACUUUUUACAUAAUUUAUGCAUUUAAUAAUUUGUGUUAUAAUAUGUUUGGUGGAAAUACUGAGGUGAAGAGAAAGAUCAAGAAAUCUGUUGGUGCCGUAUGUUUAACCAAAUCUUUCUCUUCCUUUGAACAUAAAAGAAUAUUGAGCAUAUUUCAUAAGAAUCUUUUUUUCUUAAGCUAUACCUAUGGGCUAUGGGGGUUUGAUGUAAUGGCUGCAGUGCGAAGACUGCAUUCAUCCAUCAUCUUCUUAAACUAAAUUGAUAUCAUUUGGUGCGACAGAAGCACCUUUUUAUUGGGCUUCUUUAGCAGUAGUAUAUUCUUCUAGCUUCAUACAAGCAGUGCUGCAACACUACAAUUGUUAUUGAUUAUAAAAUGACGUAUCAUCAUUGACAAUAAAAAUUUCAAACAUAUCACUAUUAAAAAUGACGGUUUCUCACAUCACCAUUAAUAAUGAUGGUUUUUGACAUAUACUCAGCGAUAAUUUUUGACAUAAUCGUUUUAAAUGAAGGUAGAUAUAUCAAUAAAGACAUUUUUAACAACCAUCAUUAUCCACAUAAUAAUAUAAUUAUUACUUUGAAUUUUUUUUAUGUGAGUUUUGAUAUUCGAAAACUAAAUAUUUAUAAAACUAAGAAUACUAAUUUUAUGUUUUAAAUUUUUGAGAGACAAAACUAAGAAUAUAUUUUCUGAAUAUUCAUUUCUAAAAUAAUAAAUUAUAAUCUAAUUUUUUAUCUCUAAAAGAAUGAAUAAACUAAACUGAUCAACAUCAUGUUAAUGUCAAAACUUUCUGCUUAUUCAAAUGAAGUCCAUCAACUGAACCAAGUAAAAUGCGAGAGAAACUAUCAUAUACCAUUUUUUGUCAAAGAGAAUUAUUAUUUAUGUGAAACAUUUAAUUUUUAUAAAAUUUAAAAGGAUAAAUAUACGGAAACAGACCUAGUUAAAUUAAUGCUCGGCAAUCUCAUGAAAUGAGACUUUUUAAAAAUGGUUCAAGGUUGAUUUAUAUUGUGAUCCAACAUAACAACUUUUUUAAAAAAUAUUGUAAGAUAAACUCUUAAUCCAUAUUACUUGGACAACAAUUUAAAUAAAAAAUUUAUAUAUAAAUCGGAAAGUAAUGAUUUUUUUAAGUGUUUGUUUUUUUUAUUAAUACUAAAGAGACGCAUCUAUUCAAAAUUGUUUAAUUAAUAAAAGAAAAAAAAGAAGGAAUAUUGUUUGAUUUCCAUGCCUUCAUCGCAUAAACAAAUUUAUAUAAAGAUUAAUACGAAAAUUAAGUUGUUUUGUUAUUACCAAACGAACUUAUAUAUCAAAUAUUUUUCCUUGCAACACAAAUCUUUAGAACUUAAAUUAUUGAAUUUAUAUUGAAGAUUAAGAAAAAGUUUUGGCACCUGCCUAAUUGUUUUUCGUAGUCUAGGAAACAUUAAUAAUGACCUUUCGUAGUAGCUAAUUAUAUAUAUCACGUCAAACUAACUUUCAUUCUAUACAAAUUAUCGGUUGCAAACAAAUAAUACUACCAUCUUUCUAUAUGUGGGCCUUAAGUAUAAUAAUAGUCUUAUGUUGUCUUAAUGUGGCCCAUAACCAAACUAUACUUCAAAUUAUAAGCUUAAUCCAAUUCGUAAUUGUCUUUUUAAUAUUUUAAUUUUCCAUCUUAUGUAGUCGUAAAAAUUUGAUAUUCUGAAAAUUAGUGUAACUUCAAAAUCAAAAAUAUAUAAAUUUUAUUUACUGAUAAGUUAGUUAAAAAAAGCCAAAUGUAUCGGUCCAAUAAAUAGAUGAUUAUAAAAACAAU